UAAUACGAGGGUGCAAGCGUUAAUCGGAAUUACUGGGCGUAAAGCGCACGCAGGCGGUUUGUUAAGUCAGAUGUGAAAUCCCCGGGCUCAACCUGGGAACUGCAUUUGAAACUGGCAAGCUAGAGUCUCGUAGAGGGGGGGUAGAAUUCCAGGUGUAGCGGUGAAAUGCGUAGAGAUCUGGAGGAAUACCGGUGGCGAAGGCGGCCCCCUGGACGAAGACUGACGCUCAGGUGCGAAAGCGUGGGGAGCAAACAGGAUUAGAUACCCUGGUAGUCCACGCUGUAAACGAUGUCGAUUUGGAGGUUGUGCCCUUGAGGCGUGGCUUCCGGAGCUAACGCGUUAAAUCGACCGCCUGGGGAGUACGGCCGCAAGAUUA
rnacentral:rRNA from 1 species